rnacentral:rRNA from 1 species
CAGCAGCCGCGGUAAUACCGGCGGCUCGAGUGGUGGCCACUUUAUUGGGCUUAAAGCGUUCGUAGCUGGGUUAUUAAGUCCCUGGGAAAUCCGACAGCUUAACUGUCGGGCGUCUAAGAGAUACUGGUAAUCUUGGAACCGGGAGAGGUGAGGGGUACUUCGGGGGUAGGAGUGAAAUCCUGUAAUCCUCGAGGGACCACCUGUGGCGAAGGCGCCUCACCAGAACGGCUUCGACAGUGAGGGACGAAAGCUGGGGGAGCAAACCGGAUUAGAUACCCGGGUAGUCCCAGCCGUAAACGAUGUGCGUUAGGUGUAUCGGUGACCACGAGUCACCGAGGUGCCGAAGGGAAACCGUGAAACGUACCGCCUGGGAAGUACGGUCGCAAGGCUGAAACUUAAAGGAAUUGGCGGGGGAGCACCACAACAGGUGGAGCCUGCCGGUUUAAUUGGACUCAACGCCGGAAAUCUCACCGGAUAAGACAGCAGAAUGAUUGCCGGGCUGAAGACUCUGCAUGACUAGCUGAGAAGUGGUGCAUGG